UACGUAGGGGGCGAGCGUUGUCCGGAUUUAUUGGGCGUAAAGAGCUCGUAGGCGGUUCGAUAAGUCGGACGUGAAAUCUCCACGCUCAACGUGGAGGGGCCGUUCGAUACUGUCGUGACUCGAGUCCGGUAGGGGAGUGUGGAAUUCCCGGUGUAGCGGUGAAAUACGCAGAGAUCGGGAGGAACACCCGUAGCGAAGGCGGCACUCUGGGCCGGUACUGACGCUGAGGAGCGAAAGCGUGGGGAGCAAACAGG
rnacentral:rRNA from 1 species